UACGGAGGGUGCAAGCGUUACUCGGAAUCACUGGGCAUAAAGGGCGUGUAGGCGGGCUUUCAAGUCGGUUGUGAAAUCCCUCAGCUCAACUGAGGAACUGCAUCCGAUACUGUUUGUCUUGAGGACGAGAGGGGAGAGUGGAACUCCUGGUGGAGCGGUGAAAUGCGUAGAUAUCAGAAGGAACGCCGGUGGCGAAAGCGACUCUCUGGCUCGUAUCUGACGCUGAAACGCGAAAGCUUGGGUAGCAAACGGG
rnacentral:rRNA from 1 species